rnacentral:rRNA from 1 species
CCUGACGCAGCGACGCCGCGUGGAGGAUGAAGGCCCUUGGGUUGUAAACUCCUGUCAGGAAGGACGAACGGCAGGGCAGUUAAUAUCUGUCUUGUUUGACGGUACUUCCAGAGGAAGCUCCGGCUAACUCCGUGCCAGCAGCCGCGGUAAGACGGAGGGAGCAAGCGUUGCUCGGAAUUACUGGGCGUAAAGGGCGUGUAGGCGGGAUGGUCAGUCGGAUGUGAAAGCCCCGGGCUCAACUCGGGAAGUGCAUUCGAUACUGCCGUUCUUGAGUGUGGUAGAGGAGAGCGGAAUUCCUGGUGUAGCGGUGAAAUGCGUAGAUAUCAGGAAGAACACCUGUGGCGAAGGCGGCUCUCUGGACCAAUACUGACGCUGAGGCGCGAAAGCUAGGGGAGCGAAAGGGAUUAGUACCCC